rnacentral:rRNA from 1 species
GACGAACGUUGGCGGCGUGCUUAAUACAUGCAAGUCAACUGAAGCAGUGGUAGCAAUAUCUCUGUGGAGGUGGCGCCCGGGUGAGAAUCCCUUAGGUUAUCUGCCUUAAGGUCUGGCAUCAUUCCGGGAAACCGGGGCUAAUAGCAGAUGAUGCAGCGGCUCGACAUCGAGACCGUUGUUAAAGACAUGACGACUGAAGAUGUGCCUGCGUCUGAUUGGCUGGGUGGCGGGGUACCGGCACACCAAGGCACCGAUGAUUAGCUGGGCUGAGAGGAUGAACAGCCACACUGGAACGGAGACACGGUCCAGGCUACUACGGGAGGGAGCAGUAAGGAAUAUGGCUCAAUGGGAGAAAUCGUGAAGCAGCAACGGCGCGGAAGGUACGAAGAGCUUUUGCUUGUAAACCUCUGUAGUGAGAGAAAAAAAUCCCAAUCUUGGGGACAUGACGGUACCUCAAAAGUAAGCCCCGGCUAACUACGUG